UCGGUCUGUGACCUGAACGAGUCCCCACCUUCCCCGGGCCUGGCUGCAGGUCCGUCAAUGCGGUCCCACUCAAAACGCAAAGGGGCAGGAAGAGACGGCACCCGGGGCUUUCUCAAGGAGAAAACCGCCCCGCGCCGGGCAUCAGAAGUCACUGGCCGCUGAGUCCUGGUACCCACAGCGAGCAGGGUCUCAUUAGUUGCUAACUUGCCCAGACUGGGCUUGGACUAGUGAUUCUCCUGACUCAGCCUCCUGAACUGGGACCACAGGGACGCCGCACCACACCUGCCUUCAGUUCACCCAUCUGCAAUCUCACUGCUCUUCGUCCGUUCAGAAGGUUGAGCACGCAUCUCCCCUCUGAUCUCAGAAUGUUUCACUGCUGAAAAAGAAAACCCCAGAUCCACCAGCAGCCGCCCCCACCACAUCCCUGUGUCCUCCUCCCGUCAAGCCAAGGCACCGGCAGCCGCUUUCUGCCUGGACAUUUCACAUCUGCGGAGCCUGGGCGAGGACCCUACGAGUCCUCAGGUGGCCUGCUGUCGCCUAGGCUCACCUGCAUUGCCGCAGAGGCAGGAGAAUCUCUCUGUGGAUGGCCAAGUAAUUACUCCUGGCGUGGCACACCACAGUCUACAUGUCCAUGGGGCAGUGACGAGUGACCCUCGGGCGCACCCACCCUGGCUCUUGAGCCCAGUGCUGCUGCGAGCACUGUGCCAGGUUUGUGUAGCCCACCAGCCCCACAGUGAGAGGCUGCCCUGCCAGCACGGGCAGCUCCAGUGUUUAUUCCUCACGCUGGCCACUGCGUGCUGCCCAGCCCGGCCCACUGCAGCAUUUUAGUAAGAAGCAAGACUGUGGCCGACACACAGCGCGCUGCCGGGUGUGGACGACGGGAUCCGAUGCCUCUGCAGGCUGAGAACGCAGUCUCCCGAGCUGCUGGAACCCGGAGCCUCAAGCACGCCCAGCGCACCCCGCCCUGCCCCGAGGAGCUCCGGAGUCCGGAGGAUUGCGCAGGCGCGGCUCUGGCUCGGCUUCCCGGAUGACACAGCCGGAGUCCGGUGGCCGCUCUGCGGUUUGCUUCCCACGACUGCCGGGAAGGGAAGGAAAUGACAGAUUGUAGCUGCGAGCUGGUGAAAAUUAAGAGGGUCUCAUGGAUAGCUGCCCUUGAAUUAUGCAGUCCAGGCUGGCCUCAAAUGUGUGGGCGAUCCCCCUGCCUCAUCCUCCAGAGUGCUGAGAUCACACAUGUGCGGAGAAGUGGAGCUCGUGAGCCAUGGUCACAUUUGUAACACAUGACGGAUUUAGGGCUGCUGGAUUCCAAACCACCUAGAUCCAAGUGGAAGAAAAGAGACAAAGUGAGAGGAAGGGGAAGAGGCGGACUGAGACUGUCCUGGUCUAAGCCCAGCUCCUUAGCUGCCGUCUGCAGAGAGGAGAGGACCCACCCCACCCCACUGUCCUUCCUGGCUGUGUGACUUGGCCAGCGGAUUCGCCUCUCUGGGCCUCCCUGGGUGGUCGUGAGGAUAAAGGACGCAGACAGCCUCAUUUUGGGGUGACGGCCCUUCUGACAACCUGAAAUCCUGUGCUCUUGGUUUGGGUGGGCCUGGGGGUGCAGGGGAGACAGGGGUUCCCAGAGCCUCCUCUCUGGCGGUGCUUGGAGGCCUGCGGGGCCAUCGGGCAGGGAGUGUGGUAUCCACCACAGACACUCCACCCUGUGUGGGCUGAAUGUUCAGGUCGGAGGACAGCAGAGGUUGCCAAAGCUGCCUGAGCAUCGCCUGCAGGACAGAAGGCAGCUCCCCAGAGCCACAUACACUGCCCGCCUUACCCCACCCCACUGGGAGGCUGAGGCAGGAGAAUCACAAGUUCAAUCGCAGCCUGGGCAGUUUAGUAACUUACCAAGACACUGUCUUGACAGUUUUUAAAAGGGGCUGGAGGCUGGAAAUGUAGCUCAGCGCAAAGGUCUUGUUUCAGUCAACAGCACCGCAGAAACGGAAGCCCAGAUUUCCUGUACCGUGUUACCUGGAUACCAGAAAAUAAAGCUCUCCUCUGGG